GGGCAAUUCCCCACCUGUUUUCUCAACCCCCAAUAUCCCCAAACCACGUCCCCUUCUGGCUGGCCCGUAAGGACUCACGAGAAGACGGACUCGGCUCUGGGGUCGGCCGGGCCGUGGGGUCACACCUGCGGCUGCCCUCCUCCCCAGUCAUGCUGGUAACGACAUCUCCGGCUCCUCCUCGUGGGGCUCCGAGACUUGGGGUUCUUGGGGGGGCACCCGCUCCCCUGAGAGUGGGUUACUGCUGGUCCCCAGCUCAGCCACGGACGCCAUGGGAUCACUCACGUAGGCCUUGGUAGACGAGGGAAACCUGUGCUAGUGUCACAAUACUGAGGUACAAACAACGAGGAGUCCUUGUGGCACCUUGGAGACUAACACAUUUAUUUGGGCGUAAACUUGUGUGGGCUAAAACCCACUUCAUCCGAUGCAUGGAGUGGAAAAUACAAUAGGAAGUUAUUUGUAUACAUAGUACAUGAAAAGAUGGGGGUUGCCUUACCAAUUCUAAUGAGACAAUUCAAUUAAAGUGGGCUAUUAUCAACAAGAGGAAGAAUCACUUUUGUAGCGGUGAUCAGGAUGGCCCAUUUCAAACAGUUGACAAGAAGGUGUGAGUAACAGUAGGGGAAAAUUAGCAUAGGAAACGUAGUUUUUAGUUCUUGGAAUGACCCAUCCACGCCCAGUCUUUGUGCAGGCCUCAUUUGAUGGUGUCCAGUUUGCAAAUUAAUUCCAGUUCUGCAGUUUCUUGUUGGAGUCUGUUUUUGAAGUUUUUUUAUUGAAGAAUUGCUACUUUUAGGUCUGUUAUUGAGUGUCCAGGGAGGUUGAAGUGUUCUCCAACUGGAAUCGCCCUUGAUCAAUCUGGGCCUCGGAGUUCACCUUGUAACAGGACAGUGAUACGGACUCAUCCUGCCUGGGACACACUCGCUUCCUCACAUGAUGGCUGUACAAGGAGGAAGAGGGACCUAGGGUCAUGCAUGUGGCCUAACUUCAUCCUGGGUUUUCAUCUGACCCAUCAUCUGCAUCAGCAGAUCUGCUUGUUGCAGCACCUAGUGUCCAAGUAACAUGCAGGGUCAGCAGGGCUGAACCAUGUGAGGUACCAAGAGUCGGGAAAUGAAAUGGCCCUGUGACACAAAAGGGCCCGAUACGAUGCAUAUGCUAUAAGGAGUACAACAAACUUAACCUGUGGCAACCCUCCUCAGGCCUCUCACUGUCUCAUCUUCUAUCAUGCAUGUGACUUCUAACUAUAUGUAUCAAGGGGAAAGGAAUAUAACAAAACAAUAGUGCAAGAAAGGAGAGAUGGACAAAGAGGAAGGUAUUUGCUAUGGGAGUGCCUGCUGUAAUGGAGGAGUGCUGGUGGAUACAUUCAUGGCAUAGUAACAACUGAACUAAAGGAAGACAAUUCUAAAGGAAGAAACCAGCUGCUUAUUU